GGGGGUGAAGAGGAUCGACAGAAAUUUUUGUCAAAGUAGGCAGAUAGAGUAUUCUCGAAUCUCGUAAAACUUCGAGAAAAGAAAUAAGUGCCAACUUAUUCGCAAGCAAACAGCUUGCUCCUGUCCUCGCCUAAAUUCAAUUAGGCGGGACCAUCUGAUCACUGAUUCUCGAUAGGUGAAAUCAGGUGUCAUAUCAUCGAGAUACCCAGCCCUUUUGUCUCAAAGGGCUGGGGAAAAAAUAGAGACUAGUGGUACUAGAAUUUCGUCUGUUUUGAAUCUAGUAUUUCAAAAACUUAAACAGACUAAAUCUGUAGAAAUAUUUUGGCAAAUUUUCUGGACUGGGCUUCAACGCCCACGCCUCCACCU
rnacentral:tmRNA from 5 species